rnacentral:tRNA from 1 species
GGCUCCAUCGUCUAUCGGUUAGGAUCGGUGGUUUUCACCCACCAGAGAGGGGUUCGACUCCCCUUGGAGCUA